AUUCAAGGCUGCCUUCAUCAAGGACCUCAACCAGCGGAGGGAGAAAAUAAACCUGGAAUGGCUUAAGGUGGCGACUGCUCUAGAUCCACGAUUUAAGGACCUCAAGUGCUUGCCCAGAGCAGAGAGGGAGCCAGUGUGGGCAAAGCUAAGUGCAUUGAUGAAGGGAGAAGAACCUGCUGUGCAGCCACUCAGGGAGGAGAACCCUGAGCCACCCAAGAAGAAAACAGCCCUGCUACUGAUGGGAUCCGACUCAGAAUCAGAUGAGGAGACACCAGAAGACAGUACAGUGGAGAGGUACAAGGUAGAGCCCAGUACCAGUCUAGAUCAGUGUCCACUGAAAUGGUGGUCGGAGCACACUGCUGUCUAUGGUAAGAUGGCCCAAAUUGCCCGUAAAUACUUGGGGACCCCUGCCACAACUGUCCCAUGCGAGAGACUUUUUUCUUUAGCAGGCCAUAUUGUGCAGAAGAGGAGAGCUUGUUUGUCACCAGAAAAUGUGAACAAACUGGUCUGCCUGAGUGACUGGUGGAAGAAGGAGAAAUAGAGCUUUGACUGACACAAAGCUACUGACUGUAAACAGUUCAUUACAACCUGUUAUAUAGGCCUACUGUUCAACUAAAAAUAAACAGUUAAUAAACACAA